rnacentral:rRNA from 1 species
CGAGCGCAACCCUUGCCUUUAGUUGCCAGCAGUUCGGCUGGGCACUCUAAAGGGACUGCCGGUGUUAAACCGGAGGAAGGUGGGGAUGACGUCAAGUCCUCAUGGCCUUUAUGACCAGGGCUACACACGUACUACAAUGGCCGAUACAAAGGGCAGCGACACUGCGAGGUGAAGCCAAUCCCGUAAAAUCGGUCUCAGUCCGGAUUGGAGUCUGCAACUCGACUCCAUGAAGUUGGAAUCGCUAGUAAUCGUGGAUCAGCAUGCCACGGUGAAUACGUUCCCGGGCCUU